rfam:Aneurinibacillus sp. XH2, complete genome.
UGAAUGCGAUGAUGCGGGAGGUUGCUGACACACCAGGCUCCGAUGCCAUGGCCUGGGAUCAGGUUUUUCCGCUGAGAAUUGUCUGUUUUUCAAAAUAGGCGACAA